AAAUAAAAGCAAACACAAACAGAACCCAGUACCCUUCGCCAUCUCUUCUUUCUCUGCAAACGCCUUCUCUCACUACGAACCAAGAAAUCCUUCACUGGGAAACCCCUCGAUUCCUUCUCUUCACUGAAAACCCAGAAAUCCUUCGUCACUGGCAACCCUAACUUCAUAUUACAUGCAAAAAAUUAACACAUGCACUAUGAGAUGGUUAAGUGGCAAUGUCUAGAGUUACUAUGAGGAAGUUUGAAAAAACAAAGUAAAGGUGAUUUUCUGCCUCCAAAUCAUUGCUACACAUAGUUUCCUUCUCCUUUGAUUUGCACCCAACUUUCCUCCGCCGCUGUAUUUCCCUUCUCACUGUAAGGGUUCGCCGUAUAAAGGCCUCCCCUGUCGUCGACAUUGAAAUUGGUGCCUUUGUUUUGUUUCUUCAACUUCACUUCGCCGUAUUUCACCUUUUCUAGGGUCCGCUAUAUCAAGGUAAUAUCUCUGGUGGUUCACCGUAUUUCACUUCACCGUAGUUAUGUUAUUCCCCUGCUAUUGCAUCUUUCUAUAUGUGUGGUUUAAUGUUAUUAAUCCAAAAUGUUGUGGUUUCUAUUUAAGCUAAGAAGGUUGACGGAUUUUUAAUGUCAUCAAUCCUUGUUUUAUGUUGAUUUAAUUGCUAUCUUCUUCUUAGUUUAAAGGAAUUGUUUCCGCUUUUGAACUUUUAUUUUUCCUAAUCAUAUAUCAGUAGCCACCAUAUUAAUUUAGUGAUGAUGAUUUAUUGUAAAAUUGUGAACAUCAUUUUGAUGUCUAGAAUCUGGAUACAUGAGAAGGAUCAUACAGUAUGUUACUAAUGUGUCAAAAUCCUUGUUCCUAUAGAAUUUUCACCUCGUGACACUCCUACUGGACUUGAUGCUAGAGACCAAUAUGUUCUUCAACUUGGUAGGUUGAUUGAUGCUCUAUAACACUAACACAUUUCUAGGAGGAAGCUGAUCUACAACUAGCUGGUGAGCUUCAAAGAAGCAACACCAACAACCACUUUUCACUGGAAGUUCAAUUCCUUCUCCUACUCAAUUGAGCCUCUAACAUAAAUAUUCAAUUUGUUUGUGUAGAGUGAUGGUAUUAAUUAAUGAUUAUGGAAAACUGAAAUAUCUUGGGUUUGUGGACUCUCAUUUAUGUAUUACUGUGGAAUUCAUGUAAUUGUGCAUACCACUCUACCUACUUGGAUUUAAAGCAUAAUUGAAUGACCAUUCUUUGUACCAAACAUGAUGUAAAUUUAUCUCAUUGAACUAAGAUAAUAGUCAUUGGUCAAACAUAAAUUAGAUUUUCAUAGUUGUGCUUGAGGUGCUGGAUGAUUUGGAUUCCUUAGUCAGAGAGUUGGUCUGUCAUUGGUAGUUGAAAUACUCAGAAACCAGGGCUAAACUUGUCAUUCUCAAGCAUGGUUGAUCUAUUCAUGGGUUCCAAAUGUCAUUGAUGCCAAGAAGUAAGAAACCAGAAAAUUCACCUUAAGCAUUAGUGAAAGAAGCAAUUGUUGAUGAGAGAUUUGAAGUAUCAUUUGAUUGUGGUAUUAUAUUGCUAUUGCAAGUUUUUAGUUUGAUAAUGAUUAAAAGUUUUGUAACAUUGUUUUCUUUUAAACAGGUUUUGUAACAUUGUUGAUAGUGGCAUGUGUUAAGAGACAAGGGUUGGUGAUAUUUCUUAUUUCUUUCACCUUGUCUUAGUGUUGUUUAUUACCUGUGAAUGUUAUAUUUUACUUUUGUUUAUGAGUAUAUAUAUAUAUGUACUAUGUAGUGUAAUUUGUAUUGAAAUUUUAGAUUUGUUCUUGUUGUGA